rnacentral:rRNA from 1 species
UACGUAGGGUGCGAGCGUUGUCCGGAAUUAUUGGGCGUAAAGAGCUUGUAGGCGGUCUGUCGCGUCUGCUGUGAAAAUCCGGGGCUCAACCCCGGACUUGCAGUGGGUACGGGCAGACUAGAGUGUGGUAGGGGAGACUGGAAUUCCUGGUGUAGCGGUGAAAUGCGCAGAUAUCAGGAGGAACACCGAUGGCGAAGGCAGGUCUCUGGGCCAUAACUGACGCUGAGAAGCGAAAGCAUGGGGAGCAAACAGG